rnacentral:tRNA from 1 species
AAGACACUAGUAAAAUAGUUAUUACGCUGCUUUGUCAGGGCAGAAUCGCGGGUUAGAGCCCCGCGUGUCUUA